UGGGGAAUAUUGCACAAUGGGCGCAAGCCUGAUGCAGCCAUGCCGCGUGUAUGAAGAAGGCCUUCGGGUUGUAAAGUACUUUCAGCGGGGAGGAAGGGAGUAAAGUUAAUACCUUUGCUCAUUGACGUUACCCGCAGAAGAAGCACCGGCUAACUCCGUGCCAGCAGCCGCGGUAAUACGGAGGGUGCAAGCGUUAAUCGGAAUUACUGGGCGUAAAGCGCACGCAGGCGGUUUGUUAAGUCAGAUGUGAAAUCCUCGGGCUCAACCUGGGAACUGCAUCUGAUACUGGCGAGCUUGAGUCUCGUAGAGGGGGGGAGAAUUCCAGGUGUAGCGGUGAAAUGCGUAGAGAUCUGGAGGAAUACCGGUGGCGAAGGCGGCCCCCUGGACGAAGACUGACGCUAAGGUGCGAAAGCGUGGGGAGCAAACAGG
rnacentral:rRNA from 1 species